AGAGUUUGAUCCUGGCUCAGGAUGAACGCUAGCGGCAGGCUUAACACAUGCAAGUCGAGGGGCAGCGCGGGAUAGCAAUAUCCUGGCGGCGACCGGCGGAAGGGUGCGUAACGCGUGAGCGACAUGCCCGUUGCCCGGGGACAACCGGUGGAAACGCCGACUAAUCCCCGAUGGGAUACGAUGCUUCAUGGCAUUGUAUUGAAAGUUACGGCGGCGACGGAUUGGCUCGCGUCCGAUUAGCUUGUUGGCGGGGUAACGGCCCACCAAGGCUACGAUCGGUAGGGGUUCUGAGAGGAAGGCCCCCCACAAUGGGACUGAGACACGGCCCAUACUCCUACGGGAGGCAGCAGUGAGGAGUAUUGGUCAAUGGGCGGAAGCCUGAACCAGCCAUGCCGCGUGCGGGAAGGAGGCCCUAUGGGCUGUGAACCGCUUUUGCCUGGGGGCAAUAAGGGCGUCGCGCACGUCCGAUGAGAGUACCAGGCGAAUAAGCAUCGGCUAACUCCGUGCCAGCAGCCGCGGUAAUACGGGGGAUGCGAGCGUUAUCCGGAUUCAUUGGGUUUAAAGGGUGCGUAGGCUGUGCGUCAAGUCGGGGGUGAAAUUCCGGUGCUCAACACCGGGGCUGCCCUUGAUACUGUCGCGCUGGAGUGCGGAUGCCGCCGGAGGAAUGAGUGGUGUAGCGGUGAAAUGCUUAGAUAUCACUCAGAACACCGAUUGCGAAGGCAUCUGGCGAAUCCGUAACUGACGCUGAGGCACGAAAGCGUGGGGAUAGAACAGGAUCAGAUACCCUGGUAUUCCACGCCGUAAACGAUGAUGGCUAACCGCCGGCGACACACUGUCGGUGGCCAAGCGAGAGCGAUAAGCCAUCCACCUGGGGAGUACGUCGGCAACGAUGAAACUCAAAGGAAUUGACGGGGGCCCCCACAAGCGGAGGAACAUGUGGUUUAAUUCGAUGAUACGCGAGGAACCUUACCCGGGCUUAAAUUGCAACCGAAUAUGGCGGAAACGCCAUAGCUAGCAAUAGCGGUUGUGAAGGUGCUGCAUGGUUGUCGUCAGCUCGUGCCGUGAGGUGUCGGCUUAAGUGCCAUAACGAGCGCAACCCUUGCCGAUAGUUACUAACAGGUCAUGCUGAGGACUCUGUCGGGACUGCCAUCGUAAGAUGUGAGGAAGGUGGGGAUGACGUCAAAUCAGCACGGCCCUUACGUCCGGGGCUACACACGUGUUACAAUGGGGGGUACAGAGGGCUGCUGCCACGCAAGUGGAUGCCAAUCCCAAAAACCUCUCUCAGUUCGGAUUGAAGUCUGCAACCCGACUUCAUGAAGCUGGAUUCGCUAGUAAUCGCGCAUCAGCCACGGCGCGGUGAAUACGUUCCCGGGCCUUGUACACACCGCCCGUCAAGCCAUGGGAGCCGGGGGUACCUGAAGUGCGUAACCGCAAGGAGCGCCCUAGGGUAAAACUGGUGACUGGGGCUAAGUCGUAACAAGGUA
rnacentral:rRNA from 1 species